rnacentral:rRNA from 1 species
AACGAACGCUGGCGGCAUGCCUAACACAUGCAAGUCGAACGAAGGCUUCGGCCUUAGUGGCGCACGGGUGCGUAACGCGUGGGAAUCUGCCUUUCGGUACGGAAUAACUCAGAGAAAUUUGAGCUAAUACCGUAUGAUGUCGCGAGACCAAAGAUUUAUCGCCGAGAGAUGAGCCCGCGUUGGAUUAGCUAGUUGGUGGGGUAAAGGCCUACCAAGGCGACGAUCCAUAGCUGGUCUGAGAGGAUGAUCAGCCACACUGGGACUGAGACACGGCCCAGACUCCUACGGGAGGCAGCAGUGGGGAAUAUUGGACAAUGGGCGAAAGCCUGAUCCAGCAAUGCCGCGUGAGUGAUGAAGGCCUUAGGGUUGUAAAGCUCUUUUACCCGGGAAGAUAAUGACUGUACCGGGAGAAUAAGCCCGGCUAACUCCGUGCCAGCAGCCGCGGUAAU